GCCAGCGUUCACUUGAUUAGAUCUCCAUUCUUGUGGUUCCCAGCCAGUGCCAUCCGGGGAGAGCCUGAAUCAGAGAGGCCGCAGCCAGCGCAGGCAGCACCUGUGUUUACCUGGCUCCACCGCCCGUUUAGAGCGAGCGGCGGCGAGGGGGGAGGCAGGAGGGGGCUCGCCCCGCGCCCGGGGAGGCCGGCUGCUGAGCCCGGGCGCUCCUCUGCCUCCAUCGGCGGGGAGGCCGUCUGCGCCUCGCCGGAAGCGCUGGCAACCAGGGGGCUCUCUCGCCCGUGCCUCGGCGUCCACAGACCGGCCCGGGCAGGCGUCAAGUCUGGCUGCAUGACAAUCAGCUGAGCUACACUAUAAACGCAGAUCCUCGGCCUCCCGUCCAGAAGUCUGGGUGCACACAUUGCCAAAGCUCCCUGUUUCAGACAUUUUACCAACUGGAGGGUUAACAGCUGCUUCGG
rnacentral:lncRNA from 1 species